rnacentral:rRNA from 1 species
CCUACGGGUGGCAGCAGUGAGGAAUAUUGGUCAAUGGACGAGAGUCUGAACCAGCCAAGUAGCGUGAAGGAUGACUGCCCUAUGGGUUGUAAACUUCUUUUAUAUGGGAAUAAAAUGUUCCACGUGUGGGAUUUUGUAUGUACCAUAUGAAUAAGGAUCGGCUAACUCCGUGCCAGCAGCCGCGGUAAUACGGAGGAUCCGAGCGUUAUCCGGAUUUAUUGGGUUUAAAGGGAGCGUAGGUGGAUUGUUAAGUCAGUUGUGAAAGUUUGCGGAUCAACCGUAAAAUUGCAGUUGAAACUGGCAGUCUUGAGUACAGUAGAGGUGGGCGGAAUUCGUGGUGUAGCGGUGAAAUGCUUAGAUAUCACGAAGAACUCCGAUUGCGAAGGCAGUUCACUGGACUGCAACUGACACCGAGGCUCGAAAGUGUGGGUAUCAAACAGGAUUAGAUACCCCUGUAGUC